rnacentral:rRNA from 1 species
AUUGAACGCUGGCGGCAGGCCUAACACAUGCAAGUCGAGCGGAUGGAGGGAGCUUGCUCCUGGAUUCAGCGGCGGACGGGUGAGUAAUGCCUAGGAAUCUGCCUGGUAGUGGGGGAUAACGUCCGGACACGGGCGCUAAUACCGCAUACGUCCUGAGGGAGAAAGUGGGGGAUCUUCGGACCUCACGCUAUCAGAUGAGACUAGGUCGGAUUAGCUAGUUGGUGGGGUAAAGGCCUACCAAGGCGACGAUCCGUAACUGGUCUGAGAGGAUGAUCAGUCACACUGGAACUGAGACACGGUCCAGACUCCUACGGGAGGCAGCAGUGGGGAAUAUUGGACAAUGGGCGAAAGCCUGAUCCAGCCAUGCCGCGUGUGUGAAGAAGGUCUUCGGAUUGUAAAGCACUUUAAGUUGGGAGGAAGGGCAGUAAGUUAAUACCUUGCUGUUUUGACGUUACCAACAGAAUAAGCACCGGCUAACUUCGUG